UGAGUACGAGAUGCUACGGCAUCGAAGCAGUCUAUGUCAUACUUCCAAGAAAAGCUCGCACUGUCAUAAACAAAUUAAUGCCUGUACCAUAACCGACACAGGUGGGUAGGUAGAGUAUACUAAGGGGCGCGAGAUAACUCUCUCUAAGGAACUCGGCAAAAUGACUCCGUAACUUCGGGAGAAGGAGUGCCUUAUUUAUAAGGUUGCAAUAACCAGAUCCAAGCAACUGUUUAUCAAAAACACAGGUCUCCGCUAAGUCGUAAGACGAUGUAUGGGGGCUGACGCCUGCCCAGUGCCAGAAGGUUAAAGAAGUUGGUUAGCAUAAGCGAAGCUGAUAACUGAAGCCCUGGUGAACGGCGGCCGUAACGAUAACGGUCCUAAGGUAGCGAAAUUCCUUGUCGGGUAAGUUCCGACCCGCACGAAAGGCGUAAUGAUUUGGAUACUGUCUCGGAGAGGGACUCGGUGAAAUAGACUUGUCUGUGAAGAUGCGGACUACCUGCACCUGGACAGAAAGACCCUAUGAAGCUUUACUGUAACUUGAAAUUGAAAUUGGACUUUAUUCGCGCAGUAUAGGUGGGAGGCAUUGAAAAUAUUCUUGCGGGAAUAUUGGAGCCAUCAGUGAGAUACCACUCUUGUAAUGUUAGAUUUCUAACUUUGUAUCAUUAUCUGGUCAAAGGACAGUUUCAGGCGGGCAGUUUGACUGGGGCGGUCGCCUCCCAAAUGGUAACGGAGGCGCACAAAGGUUUCCUCUGAACGGGUAGAAAUCGUAUCUAGAGUGUAAAGGCAUAAGGAAGCUUGACUGUGAGACCUACAAGUCGAGCAGGGACGAAAGUCGGUCUUAGUGAUCUGACGGUGCUGAGUGGAAAGGCCGUCACUCAACGGAUAAAAGUUACUCUAGGAUAACAGGCUGAUCUCCCCCAAGAGUUCACAUCGACGGGGAGGUUUGGCACCUCGAUGUCGGCUCAUCGCAUCCUGGGGCGGUAGUACGUCCCAAGGGUUGGGCUGUUCGCCCAUGAAAGCGGUACGCGAGCUGGGUUCAGAACGUCGUGAGACAGUUCGGUCCAUAUCCGGUGUAGGCGUUAGAAUAUUGAGAGGAGCCUUCUUUAGUACGAGAGGACCGAGAAGGACAUACCUCUGGUGUACCAGUUAUCGUGCCAACGGUAAACGCUGGGUAGCUAAGUAUGGAGUGGAUAACCGCUGAAAGCAUCUAAGUGGGAAGCCCACCUCAAGAUAAGUAUUCC
rnacentral:rRNA from 1 species